rnacentral:lncRNA from 12 species
UGGGGGUUUGAGCUGUUGUAUUUAGGUGCUAUGGUUGCUACUUGGAAAUUAAUUUCUUGUGGUGGAGCAGUCUGAACAACAACUUUCUCUGGCUCAGCAAGCAGAGGUGCUGGCUGGAGACUCUUUUCCUGCUCUUAUAACACCUGUGGAAGAACUGUAUGGCUCAUGCUGGGGGGAAGAUGUGACUAGGACUCAACUUCUGAAAAGUUUCUGUUCAAGGACAGCAUUGUAAUGGGGAUUGUUGGGGGAUGUUUGAGGAAUAGCAGCCUGA